AGACUUUGUUUGCCAUCAGGUUAUACUGGACUUAUACGACAGUUUUGUUUGUUAUUUUAGCCGAAUUUUCAUUUUGCAUAGAAAGCAACAACAAUUGACAGCUAAAAUAACAAACAUGACAGCUAAAAGUACAAACUCUCGUGUGAUUACUCGAAUUUUUUAAAUAGUUCGUAAAAUCGGAUAUAAGCAGCACUAAAAUGAGCAGCACUAGUGUUUAAUAAAAUCAUAACAUUUGGAGCAGAUUUGCAAUAACAUAGUUUUAUUUAUUUUCUUUGUUUAUUGUUCACUUUUGUCUUUUUUGGAAAAAUAGUUUUUCAUAGUUUUCUUAAAAGAAAGCACUCAAGAAUCGAUAUUUGAACACACCCACUCGUUUAACUCUAAAGCAACGGAGCACUCGAAAAUACGUCCUUACUUUCCAAUGAAUAUAUUGUUCAGUACUGUGUUAAUAAGGAUUCAUAAUACCUGUAUAGACAAUAGACAAUAUAAGGGAAAAGAUACUGAAUUUCCAUUACUCAAUUGUGAUGAAAUUUAUCCGAGUAAAAAAUAAACUCCUGAUAAGCAUCGAUCGCCAGUCACAAAAGAGAUACACCAUCAAGUUACCUAUGUUGCACAUCUGCGAUAUCUGUGAAUUAGAUUUGGGUAUAUGGAGUAAAAGUGCAGGAUGGCCAUGGAUCAAGUAUGGCAUUAGAACAAUAAUGGAGAUUCGAGAUGAUCCUGAGAGAGUUAGAGCGGUACGAAAGUUUUGGCAUUAUGUAAAACUUAAACAGGAAAUGCAAUUUCCAGAUUGCUGUGCAUUUGUUUGCGCUCAUGACGAUAAGAAGGUUAGAGCGAUUUGGGGUUACCCCGCUACUGUUACUUUUGGGGAAGCAGUAUUUGCGAAACCUUUGAUUGAUGCUUAUUCACAAUUGCCCACGAACACUUCACCAUUUGCUUACGGUAUGGAAAGCGUAACUGAUGGACCGAUGAAAAUUAUCACAGUUUAAAAUUUUCAAAAUUUGAUAAAACUGUUCCUGCCUGGCUUAUUGAGAUUGCAUUUGAUAUAUUACAAUUAAAUAUUGAUUUUGUUCAUUAUAGAGGAAAUGGAGUAGCUGAUGCACGCAAAAUGAUACACAUGUUUGCCACAAUAAAAGACUACUUCAUCAAUACACCCAUACGAACAGCAAAGGGGUUAAGGUUUAAAAAAUCAAGUGGUAUACCCAGUGGUAGCUAUUUUAGUCAACUAAUCAGUUCCAUUGUAAAUUGUCUUGCUUUAACAUGAAUCUUUUCUAACAACAAGAGUCGCUCUGGAUCUUAGUGAAGUAUCUAAAAUAUUAUUGAAUCUUGGGUUAAUUUUGAAUGAAAAGAAAUCAAUGUCAUCUACUAAUAUCGACGAAUUAAAUUUUCUUGGUUAUGAAAUUAAAAAUGGAGUUGUCAAGAACAAUCAAGAUGAUCUUGUAGCAUCAUUAAAUACUCCGGAGCACCCUGAUCAAAGUUGGAGUGAAACUGCAUCGCGGACAUAAAGCAUAUAUGUUGCUAACUUCGAGAUAAAUACUUGAUUAUGUUCUUCACUACAGGAUAAGAUCAAAAUACAAACGUAAUGGAUGAAGUUAAUACGAUAUUUUCUCUAUUGAUGUAAGCAAAAUGCAAGCAGCAUGUAUAGGACACUAAACUGUAAUUUGUUAAAGUUUUCUAUUGAUUAUGAAA